AGGACGAACGCUGGCGGCGUGCUUAACACAUGCAAGUCGAGCGGAAAGGCCCUUCGGGGUACUCGAGCGGCGAACGGGUGAGUAACACGUGAGCAACCUGCCCCUGGCUCUGGGAUAGCCUCCGGAAACGGGGAUUAAUACCGGACAUUCACUUCCUUCCGCAUGGUUGGGGGUGGAAAGUUUUUUCGGCCGGGGAGGGGCUCGCGGCCUAUCAGCUUGUUGGCGGGGUAACGGCCCACCAAGGCGACGACGGGUAGCCGGCCUGAGAGGGCGACCGGCCACACUGGGACUGAGACACGGCCCAGACUCCUACGGGAGGCAGCAGUGGGGAAUAUUGCGCAAUGGGCGGAAGCCUGACGCAGCGACGCCGCGUGGGGAUGAAGGCCUUCGGGUUGUAACCCCUUUCACCAGGAGCGAAUCCAGACGGUACCUGGGGAAGAAGCGCCGGCUAACUACGCGCCAGCAGCCGC
rnacentral:rRNA from 1 species